GACGAACGCUGGCGGUGUGCUUAACACAUGCAAGUCGAACGGAAAGGCCCUGCUUUUGUGGGGUGCUCGAGUGGCGAACGGGUGAGUAACACGUGAGUAACCUGCCCUUGACUUUGGGAUAACUUCAGGAAACUGGGGCUAAUACCGGCUAGGAGCUCCUGCUGCAUGGUGGGGGUUGGAAAGUUUCGGCGGUGGGGGAUGGACUCGCGGCUUAUCAGCUUGUUGGUGGGGUAGUGGCUUACCAAGGCUUUGACGGGUAGCCGGCCUGAGAGGGUGACCGGCGACAAUGGGACUGAGAGACGGACCAGACUGCUACGGGAGGCAGCAGUGGGGAAUAUUGCACAAUGGGCGGAAGCCUGAUGCAGCAACGCCGCGGGCGGGAUGACGGCCUUCGGGUUGUAAACCGCUUUCGCCUGUGACGAAGCGUGAGUGACGGUAAUGGGUAAAGAAGCACCGGCUAACUACGUG
rnacentral:rRNA from 1 species